UCUCUUACAAGCCUUGCCUCCCACCUAACCCAAUCACUAAAUGAGCAGCCUCCCAACCAGCCCAAUCAAUGAGGAGGCAGCCAACCAUCCUCCCUCUAUAAAAGGAGCUUGGCCGGCCACCCCCUCCUCCUUUGCUUCUCAUUUUUGACUCUCCACUCCUUCCACCACUCACUCACACUCCUCUCCUACCUCUCCCCCACGAAAUCCUGCUCCACCUAGCUACCAUGGCCGGCCAUGGCCAUGAAAAGGCACCUAGAUGAAGCUCCCCUCCUCCAUCAAGCUCAUCCUCACCAUGAGAGCAUCCCUCUCACUCUCUUCUCCCCUAACCCUAGAUGAAUCCAGCCCUAUUUCUCCUUUCUCCUCUCACAAGAUUGGAUCUUGAUGCAGGUGCAUGUUGGUCCAAGCAUGGAGAAGGUUGAGCAAUCCUCAGAUCUGAAGCUCUUGACCCAAAUCCAAAUCGAGUUAUUCAAAGUUCCACAGAUAGGUAUUGAAAAGAUCUACAACUUGGCGUUGGUCUCAUCCUCAAAUUCGUUACGUAUGUUGCAUGAUCAAGAUCUGGUCAAAUCUGAUUUUGUCGAAUUAAACCAGGAGCUUGGAAACGAAUUUUUGAAUGAAACCAAUUGGGUAAGAA